rnacentral:siRNA from 1 species
AAGUUUCAGAAAAGGUGGACUGCA